UAGAGUAGAACAUGAAUAAUGUAUGUCACUUACAAUGAUAAUAUAGGGCCUCUUCCCUUACUCUAA
rnacentral:tRNA from 1 species